GCCAGCACUGUCAGUCUCUUUCUCCUCGCUGCUGACCCCUUUCCCAUUCCACCCAUGACCCACCCUGCUCCCUGUGCAGCCGCCGGCGCAUCAUGGCGCACGGCACCCAUCCCGGCCCAACCUCCCACCCCACGCCUCCGAACCGUCCCUGCAGCCUACCUGCGCCGUCGCGAGCCUCCCACACCGCGCCCCCAUCACUCCCAGCUGUCCGGCGAGAUCUCGGGGGCAGGCAGACGCGCACGCAGUCUGGGCGGGGGCAUCCACCGCGCGGCGCUCCCUGCCCCGCGCCCCCGCCGCGAUGAAGCCACGCCGGUCCGAAUCAUCAGGUGGUAACGCGCGGCGACUGGCGCGCGCCGUGCAGCGCGAGGUGGGCUCGAUCUGCAUCCACCGGCAGGAUCGGGCUCCUCAUUUUGGAGACCCUGCCGCAAACUGUGCUCGGCCGGAUGGGCGGAGAUCGAUGAGGAGUAGAUUCCGUGGUGCAGCACGAUGCCGACGGCUUCUCUUCGCCACCGAGCUCUGCUCCCCUCCCUAUGCGUCAGGAUCAGGGUGCCCACGGAUCUUACCUUGUCACGGUCGGCUCUCGUCUCUCCCUCCGCGUCCUGCAUUGGUAGCUCUGUUGGAUUGGCACCGCCGGUGAAAUUCGAUCUUAGAGCUUAAACAGGUGCAUAUUCUACCAAGUAUAGAACGGGGAGAUGUCGCGAAAGGAAUAUUCAUGGUUUCUGAAGACUGAUUAUGCUCACAAACUCAGGUUAGUGUGCAUUAAGAUCUACAAUAGUUAUGUGCUGUAAUGCAGAAUUGAACAUACUUUACCUUGAGUUGUUAUAAUUUGAUCCGGCGACUUCAUGUGCUAAGGACUUCCUUGUAGACUAUGUUCUUCAUGGUCGUUAAUAAGGGUUCAAAUCUUUUUCGCUUCUUUGAAAUCUUGCUUUGUUCCUUGCCCUUGCCCUUACCCUUGCCUUUACCCUUGCCGUUGUCCUUGAUGGCGAGAAUCUUAAUGUUCCUCUUCGCGGUGGCUCUAGACAAUGCAACGUAGAGCUGACCGUGAGAGAAAAUCGGGUCUGGUAGGUACACCCCGACAAUCGCUGGGUUGUGAUCUCGGUGUCCUCUCAUAUUCAACAACUGAUAAGAUUAGUGAAGGGUAAGUUAUGAAAGCUUAUUGAAUACCUUAUGUGCAUACAUGUGAUUGACAUAUACAUACCUCUUUUCCCUUUGUCAUAGAGAUGCCUUCUGUCCUGUGACAUCUUUGUGUUCUAUAAAAGCUUUAAGUUCUUAACUAAACCUGCAUUUUUUGCAUGAAAAAAAUGAUAUGAUAUUUGUAACUGUAUUGUACUGUAAUUAAGAGGACUUUAGCAAUAUUCUUUAUGGAACAGGGGUCUUCAAUAUGAACUUAAGUCUGGGAACUGAAUAGAUGUCUAUAAUAUGAAAUUGGGUGAAAAGCAUGUCAAUCUCACGUCAUCAAUUCUUAGAUUUUUUAACUUUGUUACAUUUGCUUUCAUUCAUUUGCAUAGAGUGGCCUUGCUGCAAAGACAAGAUUGAGAUGACAUGUCACACCCGUCCACAUUAGCACACAUUAUACAUUUGUUUCAUGUAUUUAAUUCCCGGAAGUUGAUGAGCCUAAUGAAGCACCUUCACAAUUUGGUAGCUGGUACAUAGCUUAAAAUCCUGCAUGCUUUGUUCAAUGUACUUGGAGUAGAACUUAAAGAUGCAAUCUGAGUACUACUAUAUUUUUGAGGUCGCAUCAUGAAGUUCUGAACAGGAGUUUAGUAUCUUUCUGAUGUAAAAAAACUUUGCUGAAACAAUUGAGGAUGACAAACCUAGGGCAUGGUGGGCACCGUUGAACAUAACAAAGGUGGAUCUCAGUCCUUUUGCCAUCGGAGAGGCAGAAGACGGUAGGUGAAGAACUGUGAAGAUGAUGGCAGGAGGAUGUAGCGGCGACAUCAGGAGAUAGACGCAGCAACAGCCGUCGAGUGCAGGUUCUGGUUCAGGGGCGUCGAGGUUGCGGUUCAGCAUGCGAGGAGAUCAGAGGUUGAUGGCAGCAGAGGCUGCGCUCGCACAGCUCGCAUGAGAACGAUGUGGUCGGACGGCGAGUGAACCGGCGAUUCUCUCCUUGGCGUAGUGCGUCCGUGGGUCGAUGGAGCUCGUACGCGAGGAAGAACUGGCAUUUCUCUCCCCGGGGAUGUGCGUUCGUGGGUCGAUGGAGGUCGCAGGUGGUUUGAUUUUUGGCCGAUGGACCUCGUUCGUGGGUUGAGCUGAACUGUUUUUUUUGUUGGCCGGUUUGUUGAUCGAUGAACCUCGUUCGUGGGUUGAGGACUUCGUUCGUGGGUUGAGCCGAAUUGUUUUUUUUGGCUGUGGAUCUUGUACGUGGGCUGAGUUGGCCUUUGAUUUUUGGGAUACUA